AACGCGAAGAACCUUACCUACCCUUGACAUGUACGGAAGCCCGCUGAGAGGCGGGUGUGCCCGAAAGGGAGCCGUAACACAGGUGCUGCAUGGCUGUCGUCAGCUCGUGUCGUGAGAUGUUGGGUUAAGUCCCGCAACGAGCGCAACCCUUGUCUCCAGUUGCUACGCGAGGGCACUCUGGAGAGACUGCCGGUGACAAACCGGAGGAAGGUGGGGAUGACGUCAAGUCCUCAUGGCCCUUAUGAGUAGGGCCUCACACGUCAUACAAUGGCCGGUACAGAGGGUUGCCAAGGCGCGAGCCGGAGCCAAUCCCAGAAAGCCGGUCGUAGUCCGGAUUGAAGUCUGCAACUCGACUUCAUGAAGUCGGAAUCGCUAGUAAUCGCGGAUCAGCAUGUCGCGGUGAAUACGUUCCCGGGUCUUGUACACACGC
rnacentral:rRNA from 1 species